rnacentral:lncRNA from 1 species
CUUGUUUAUGAAUAACUUGUGUAUUACGUCACACGUUGUAUAAAAUACGGAACGCAUGUUCCUACGUUGAGCUUCUCUCCAACAACCUCCAUGCAGUUAGCAGUCUCUCUUAAAUGCAGCGCACCAAGUAGAUUUGCUGCACCAAGUAAAGUUGCUUGGUGAAAGUAUUUAAAUGCAGUGCACCAAGUAGAUUCCUGCACCAAGUAAUGCAGUGCACCAAGUAGAUUUUCAUGCACCAAGUAUGAGUGUUUUUAGAAGCAGUGCACCAAGUAGAAUUGCAUGCACCGAGUACGCUGAGUAUUCAAGUUGAAUGCAGUGCACCAAGUAGAUUUGCUGCACCGAGUACGCUGAGUAUUUGAAUGCCGUGCACCAAGUAGAUCUUCUUGC